rnacentral:rRNA from 1 species
UACAUGGGGUGCAAACGUUGCUCGGAAUUAUUGGGCGUAAAGCGCGCGUAGGCGGUUAUCUAAGUCGGAUGUGAAAGCCCUCGGCUUAACUGAGGAAGUGCACCCGAAACUGGAUAGCUAGAGUACGAAAGAGGGUCGCGGAAUUCCCGGUGUAGAGGUGAAAUUCGUAGAUAUCGGGAGGAACACCGGUGGCGAAGGCGGCGACCUGGGUCGGGACUGACGCUGAGGCGCGAAAGCGUGGGGAGCAAACAGG